rnacentral:lncRNA from 1 species
UUGGAACUAAAAAUUAUGUAGUGAAAUAAUAUAUCAUGUCAUCUGAAAAAUUAUACUCAAUAUAAGGGAAUCGAACCCGGAGCAUUAAAUUUGAAAUUUCAGGCACAAAAAUACAAACAUAUAAUUAAUAUGCAUGUUACAAUCAACAGCAAUUAUACCGCAGUGACAGUAUAAUAUUUUAUGCUCUUGCAUCUGGUGUAAUUUUGUAAGCUAAAGAGAAUUGGGAAUGCAAAAUGCCUACACAAAGAAAAGCAAAACUACAAAAACCAGUAAACACAAUACCAAUAUUUAAAAAAAUAUGUACCAAUGUGCCCUAUUGAGAGACUUCACCUGCAAUGAGAUGUUCAUCUUUCUGCUUUCAUCUAUUGUCUUGAUUUUCCCAAUCCUUCGGCUGAGCUUCUACCAUUAAGAAGUGAGUGAGUGACUGACUAUCUUGAGCUUCGUCCGAAGAAUAUUGUCCUUUAGAACGACAAAAUGAAAAUCUUCUUUUUAUCGAAGACUCCAUUAAUAUCCUCAGCAGCGACAUGCCAAUAUACUGCCUUCCACUUAGAAAAAGACAACAGAGAAUCAUCAGGAAGAAAGUUGUGUAAACUUGCACUGAAUACCAAUAUAUACAUAUACAUAUUUUCACGCUGUAAGAAAAUUACAGAGAAAUAAAUCAAGCAGCUUUGAUCCAAAAGCUCCAUGAGGGAAGAGGAGUGUUCUUGAAAGGAUGCCAAAAAAGCACAGUUGAACAAAAUUAAACAUUGCAAAUAGUUAUUACUAACACGAGUUAUUAAACGGUAAUGAACAAGAAAAUUCAUAAUUGGAAAGGCUUUUCGUCACAUCCAACAUUUUGAAAAUAUGGGAAUUUAAUAGA